GCCAUCACUCAGUGGUAGAGCACCUGCUUUGCAUGCAGAAGGCCCCAGUUUCAAUCCCUCGCAUCUACA